rnacentral:rRNA from 1 species
GAUGAACGCUAGCGGCAGGCCUAAUACAUGCAAGUCGAGGGGUAUAUUUAGCUUGCUAAAUAGAGACCGGCGCACGGGUGCGUAACGCGUAUGCAACCUACCUUUAUCUGGGGGAUAGCCCGGAGAAAUCCGGAUUAAUACCGCAUAAAAUCACAGGAUUGCAUUAUCCAAUGAUCAAACAUUUAUGGGAUAAAGAUGGGCAUGCGUGUCAUUAGCUAGUUGGCGGGGUAACGGCCCACCAAGGCGACGAUGACUAGGGGAUCUGAGAGGAUGACCCACCAAACUGGGACUGAGACACGGACCAGACUCCUACGGGAGGCAGCAGUAAGGAAUAUUGGUCAAUGGCGGCAACUCUGAACCAGCCAUGCCGCGUGCAGGAAGACUGCACUAUGGGUUGUAAACUGCUUUUAUUCGGGAAUAAACCUAUUUACGUGUAGAUAGCUGAAUGUACCGAAGGAAUAAGGAUCGGCUAACUCCGUGCCAGCCGCCGCAGUAAUAC